GAUGAACGCUGGCGGCGUGCCUAAUACAUGCAAGUCGAGCGGAAGGACGAUAAGCUUGCUUCUCUGACGUUAGCGGAGGACGGGUGUGUAACACGUGGAUAAUCUACCUAUAAGACUGGGAUAACUUCGGGAAACCGUCGCUAAUACCGUAUAAUAUUUUGAACCGCGUGGGGCAAUAGUGAAAGACGGUCUUGCUGUCACGUAUCGAUGGUUCCGCGCUGUAUGAGCUGGUUGGUAAGGUCACGGGUUACGAAGGCGACGAUGCAUAGCCGAGCGGUGAGGGGGGUAGCCGACCUGGGGACGUGAACGCCGUCAAGGGUCCUACGGGAGGCAGCAGUAGCGUAUGGUCGGCAGCGGGCGAGAGCCUGGCGGAAUGACGCCGAGUGAGUGAUGGCAGUCUUCCGAGCGUAAAACUCUGUUAUGAGUGAAAAACCGAUGUGGAAGUUGAUGAGCCGAGCGUGACGGUACCUAGUCAGGAAGCCACGGCUAACUACGUG
rnacentral:rRNA from 1 species